AAUGGCACUGAAAUCCCUCCUCGACAGCAAAUGCACCACCCAGUACUUCAGACCACCACCCCUGAAGGUUUCGAUCCUCAAAUUAAUUGAUGCCCCAAAAGUUAUUUUGUGGGAUUUUUCCAACACCGUGGUCACACCAGCCACCACAAAACAUAAUAAGGUGGCCGUUGUUUCAGACGGCCAGACAUGCACAAAAAUCACACUCUUUGAAGAAUUUGGUGAUAGGAUCAUAGAGGGUUGUACCUACAUAAUUAGAGGACACACGAUCAGGGGCAGUGGUCCUCCCUACUACCUGAAUAUUACAAACUUGGUGGUGACAGAGGAACUGCACCAACAGGCUGAGGCCCUGCUCUACCCAGCGUCACCUCUCACUAAAAUCUUUGAGUGCCAGGCGUCACAGGGCCACAUGACUGUGGAGGGCGAGGUAGUAGAGGCACUACCAGUCAAGAAAGUAAAGCUUGGCAGUGACUGUGUCCCUUUAAAAAAGGUGACACUGCAACAGGGUAGUGACAAGGUGGAGCUGUGCCUCUGGCGGGAGGCGGCUGUUGAAAGAGUGCAGGUUGGGGAGAAGUUGACGGUGACCCACCUCAAGGUCACCAAAAAUGGCAACCUGCAAUCAACUGUCCAUACCACCUUCAAGAAACCAGAGCCUGAAGUUAAGGAGGGCUCCAUCCUGGGGGUAAUGGAGCUGCACCGGGAGCAGGGGUUCCUCCAGGUUAUGCUUGAGGACAAUUCCAUUUUUGUCAUCAGCCAGGAGCUAUGGUCCCCACUGAAUGAGGAGUUGGUCAAUGGGACAAUUAAAGUGGCAAUGACCACCCAAGGGGGACAAAUUAUCAAUAUAAUCAGAAAGGAAGAGUGAAGGGGUGGCGGGGUUGCAAAAUGUAGGGGGGGGCGGGGGUG
rnacentral:lncRNA from 1 species